rnacentral:rRNA from 1 species
ACGAACGCUGGCGGCGUGCCUAAUACAUGCAAGUCGAACGCUUUUGUUUUCACCGGAGCUUGCUCCACCGAAGACAAAAGAGUGGCGAACGGGUGAGUAACACGUGGGCAACCUGCCCUUCAGUGGGGGAUAACACUUGGAAACAGGUGCUAAUACCGCAUAAUAGUUUUUUUCACAUGAAAGAAACUUGAAAGACGCUUUCGGGUGUCACUGAAGGAUGGGCCCGCGGUGCAUUAGCUAGUUGGCGGGGUAACGGCCCACCAAAGCGACGAUGCAUAGCCGACCUGAGAGGGUGAUCGGCCACAUUGGGACUGAGACACGGCCCAGACUCCUACGGGAGGCAGCAGUAGGGAAUCUUCGGCAAUGGACGAAAGUCUGACCGAGCAACGCCGCGUGAGUGAAGAAGGUUUUCGGAUCGUAAAACUCUGUUGUUAGAGAAGAACAAGGACGUUAGUAACUGAACGUCCCCUGACGGUAUCUAACCAGAAAGCCACGGCUAACUACGUGCCAGCCGC